CUGUUGACCGCAAUAAUAAUUUUAUUAGGGGAUGAGAAUUUUACCAAGUGUCACACGUGCACCGCUUGAGCACAAGAUGCAUGUUUCCGUCUUUAGCCCUGUUGGUGGUUAUUUUUGAUAACAUGUUUAAAAAUUCGAGACUCUUUGAGAUAACUGCAUGGGCCCAUUUUAUGGUGCCCCUUCCAGACCCAAGGGUGAGGUGUAACAGUCAUCGACUGAAGUCUGAAAACAAAAGCACAGCUGCAGCAAAGAGGAAGUGCACAUUUGGAUUUUUGCAGCAUCCAACAACUGGUCCAUUCGUGACUGAGAUGGUAUUGGGCACAGUCUAAAACGCUUACCAUAAAAAAGCUCCCUGAUUGUCCGAAAACUGUGAUCGUUCAUCACCAAACAUUGUGUGUACCUCCUGUCUACUCAUGCCCACUGUUUCAUUUUAGUCAUCUGUACUGGAACAGUCAUGGCUUUCAUGCAAAAAGAUUCAGAGUUCACUCGGGCCGAAGUAGAAGAUAUUCUCCUUGAUGUGGAGAAGUAUAAAGACUGCAUAUCACACAAACCGCCCCUGGAGCCCAAGGGGGGUGAUGUGUUCCUGUAUCAAAGUUUGCAGGGAGGCAGAUGCACCACAGACUUAAAAUUUGAUCAAAAGCUGUGGAAACAGAAAGGGUCAAAUCUUCACAACAUUAAAAAAUAUGGCGGUAGGGUCCUAAAGCGAUACUACCACAUUAGAACAACUCAGUGUGACAAGGGAUCAGCAGAGUUUAGAAAGAACGUCUACUGUCUUGUGCCACAAGUGGAUUCUAAUUCGGCGACAAAUUUAUAUCUGAUUCACUACCUGGGAAAUGAAAGUGUGGAUGUGCUAAGGAAACACAGCAGAGUCGUCAUUUCUUCCAAAAAAGAGCUAUUUGCAAAUACCCUUCAUGGGGCCGAUGGGCAGGCUCCAACUAAGAUCCACCAGACCACCUUGUCUGGACCAUCCAUUGGCGGUGAGGAGCACAUGCCUGUGAGUUUCCGGGUCCAAAAUGCAGCGUAUGCUCGCAGAAGUACACAACGAAUAUCUCAUGAUGAAAUUUGCAGUAUCCAUGAACUGGCCUGCCAGCUACCUGGCUUUGUCUGGUAUAUUUCUACUUUUCCAGACCUUCUGGUUUUUGCAGGGAUGCCAGAAAUGAUGGAUUUAGCACAAGCCAACCUAGAGAAAGCAGUUGAAUUAAAAUACCCUCAAGUGUUGAGGUAUGAAACGUUUCAGAUGGGCUAUUUCUAUGUUUCAGUGCUUACCGUGAGAAAUACAUCCCUUGUGGAUGAUCCCGUGUUUCCUGUCGGGUUUAUGCUGCAUGAACGUGAAUAUAUACAGCAUCAUGAAAUGUUUCUACAUGACGUUUUGGGGAAACUUAAAUUGGGUGAAGAAAAAUUCCACAGUGUGCCCAUAUCUGUUGGCGGAGAGAAGGGAAUUGUUCAGGCCUUGAAGAAGAGGUUCCCAAAUAUUAGCUUUGUUUUUUGCGGGAACCAUGUCUUGUGUGACAUUGAAUCCUGGAUGAAAAAGGAAGGACGCAGAAGGGAUGACCAAGAGCUACUAAAAGAUCAAAUUAAGCAACUAAUUAAUUUGCGUAACAGAGAUGAGUUUGAAGCACUUUAUAGCAAAUUUGCAGAGAUGUGGUCAGAGGAAUUUAUCAAAUAUUUCAACCAGCACUUGAGGGAAAACCUAUCCAACAUCGCUGAACAAUCUGAUGAAAGUCAAACCAACAACAUCGGUGAGAGUAUGCAUAAAAUGAUUAAAUCGCAAGAUGAAUGGAAGGAACUUCCAGUUGAUGCCGUGGCACUGUCUUUGUACUACAUGCAGUCAUUCUUUUUGUCCGAGUUUCAAAGAGCGAGAUUCAGGUUGGGCAGUUACAACCUGAAGCAUGAGCUCCCCGAGGCUUUGAAAGAUAUUGAUGCUCCCUCAUUUGUCCCCUUGGAGGACAUUAUUGGGAAAGUCAAGGACCAUCUGAGCAAUGAACUGAGCCGAGAACCGAAAAACACGAAGCUAUCGAUGUUUCAGACCUCAUUAGCGAAAACUGUCGUCAAGAUGGGGCUGGUGAGUCUGACUUCGUCUGCGGGGGUGUUUGUGGUUAAAAGCCCUUGGAACGAGACUGCCCACGUAGUUCAGAACAACCCCGACGGGGCAGAAUGCUGCUGCCCCAGCACAGGCAAGUGUUGCCAUAUCUUGGCUGUGGAAAUGGCAACUGGGAUGAGUCUUCUUGUAAAAAGGUCAUACAAUCUGUCACAAAUGCACAAAAGGCAUCAAGGCAGAGUAAAAACACACACAAAAGGCCGAGUUGAGCUGGUCCUAUAAAAUUAAAUGCAAACAUUCUGUCUGGGUCCUCCAGUCAUUUGCGUUUCCAUUUGUGAAUGUUGAUUGUUGGCUGAAGUGGUCCCACAUAAAAGCGUGACCAAAAAUCAUGAGAAUGAGAGCUGUACCCUUUCACCAAAAAUUUCUUUGUAAUAUAGUUAUUGUUAUGGUAUUUAUUGUUGCACAACUGUUGGACAUUACAUUGCAUCGACAAAUUAAAUAUCUCUUUGUACCAUUUUAAUUUGAUGGUUAUUUUGCUAUUACGGCUAAGGCAUAGACGUGUACUAAAAGAAUGUCUGCCUUGUGUCCCCACAUUGUCGUGUCGUAAUAGGCCCUAACCCCAGUUUCAAAAUUUUAACUUUAAAACGUGAACAUCAAGUGGCCACUAAUGUCUAAAUUAGAGAACCACUUCAACCACCACCCAUUCAAUACUAAAUGAGUAUUUUAUGGCCAAAAUCUUUUCACCUUUGCAACUGGAUGGUGCUCAUUUUCCUGUUUUCAGCUGGCAAGAUCUUAUUUCAUAAUGACUUUGGUUGCCGUAUCACUUGACAAAGUCAAGGGGAUAAUUGCUUCUUGACCAUGACCAUGUCAAGUAGGCUUGCCAAAAAAUUCACGGCGAAAUGACCCCCCCCCCCCCCCCCCCCGCAGCGCUAAUGUGACAUUUGGCUGAACACCUUGGUUCCAAAAUUAUAGGUACAAGGUGACAUUCUAACUCAAUUAAAAAAAAAAAAAACUCUCCCUUAACCUACAGUACUUUGUAUUCACGAGUAUUAAAGCGAUUUACCAAGUGUAUUCCUUUGCAUCAGAUUAUCGAUGGCCUUCCUCUAACCUUGCUGACAGCAACUAGUCAUCUUUUCCACCAGCCAUCUUUGCAGCACAUGGGUUGAAGCUGAUGCACCUGACAAUAAUAAAAUCGGGAUAUUGGAUUCCACCAAUAAUAUCCACCAUUUCCAGACAUCCCUCACCAUAAAAUCUAAAUUCAGGAUGGUAGGCCAUUUUAUCACCUUCCCCUGAUCUUAAGUUGACAGCUAACACCCCCGUUUCCUUCUGUCAAUAUAGCAGGAUGUUGUGCAAUGCUAACGCGUUUCCAACCCAUAAAAAUAGUGCAGGGGAACAAUAUCCACUAGUUGAGGAAAAAAAAGCUUUUUUUACAUGAAGCGUUUUAGACUGUCCCCACUCUCCCUUGGAGUAAACCUUCAAAGCUUGUGCACUGAGAUGGUGUCUUCACAAAGACCAUGGCUAGUCACGUGACCACCUCCUGUCCCGACAGCCCGGUGGCCCGCGUAGCACCAACACCGCCUCUCUCUCCGGUCUGGUUCUCCAUCCACCCUUAAGGAAUUUAUGAGCUGCACUCAGCGCUUCACCUUGCGGCAGAACGCAUGA